GAUCUAGACUAGAGACAACAACAUGAAAUGUGUCAAGAAGAGACAAGCGAGAGAAAGGAAGAUUCUUCACUGCCUAUGUGACUAGUCACUAGAUCUAUACGACUACAAAGUAGAAAUGAAUAAUUUUUCACUCUACAUAGUCAAGCUUGCUUGGUUUACUUAUCAAGUACAUCUCUUGGCCAGACAUGGCGGCUUGGAGAUUUAAGUGUGAUUAAAUACUUGACUCGGCCCAGCAACAUGAGUGAGCAGC
rnacentral:sRNA from 1 species